rnacentral:misc_RNA from 1 species
CUCAACAGACCUCAUCUCCACAAAAGCAAACUGCUUUUCAUGGUUUAUAUAGACAUUCACAACAGCAUCCCCUGGGCCAGCAGUGUUUCCUCCAAUUGCAGCCAUAACUUGGCUGAAAAAAGUUGCUACAGACUGUUCAUUAGCUGUAGGGGGAAGUCCUCCAACAUAUACCCGUCGAGCAUGCCUAGUGGCCUGCUGUGUCAUUGCCUGAACUGGCAUAACCGGAAGAGCACCAAACUGACCAGCCCCUAAAGGAAACAUGUUAGGGAAUAUUCCAGAAAUGGCAGGAUUUGUGCCAGGCAUCUGACCUGCAAAAGCAAUUAGAAAAGAAUUAGAACAAUCAUAAAUCAAAAAGUAUACUGUAAUGCAUUCAAGGUACCAAAAUUGACUCCUCCAUCAUUUUCUAGCAGAACAAUUAAGUCCUAAUUCUUACAAUAAUUUUAUCAAAGGAGAUGAAAAAAAAUACAUCUUUUGUUCAAGUUCUGGAGGAAAUAUUUGCAAGACUACCAAAACAGGCAAUAGUUGCCAGUUGAAGACGAACAAGAACCAUCAAACCGGUGCAUUGAUUCCUCCUUGUACAUAAAAGCUACAGAAGUCGGCUCACGCCCAUAGUCAGCACAGUGGGGCAAGUAGCCCAACAUUGCCUUCUCACAACAAAAGACGAGAAAGAAAACAAACAAACAAACACCAAACACAAGAAAAACCAAAAAACUCUCUCAGUUCCAGAAUUAUUUCACCAAGCCAUAAAUAAUAAUAAUAUAGCCCAUUCAGAGACCACAGAUUUUAGAAGCUAUAUGUACAUAAUAAAAGAACAAAAUACUGCUUACCAAAAUGAUAUCAUGUAAUUGGUACGAACUUUCCACACUAUAUCACAAAAACAAAGACAGCAGUUAAGCAAUAUGACAAUCUUAACUGUGGAGGAGGGUAAAUGUACCUGCAGCAGCAGCAGCUGCAGCUGCACCAGCCAACAUUGCAGAUGGUGGAGGAGCCAUAUCAAAACCACUGAUCCUUUUGCUGUAAGCAAAUACAGUGAGCGUGCCAAUAAAAAAGGUGAAUAGAUAAAAACAAACCCCCUAAAUUUGUAUAACAAGUACCAUACUCAAUUCGAAACAAAAAUGAGUGCUAUUCAUAGCUAACCAACAUUUUAAUACUGAUGCAUACCUCUUAGAACGGGAACGGGAGCGUGAACGUGAUUUGGAUCUGCGUUCAGAUCUACCCUUUGAAGGAGAUCGUGACCGAUGCCGGUGCCUGUCUUCCCUGUCCCUAUCAUAAUCUCUCCGCCUGUCCCGGUCAUAGUCUCGGCUUCGGUGAUAAUCAUCAUCAUCUCUAUCUCUACCCCGUUCCCUCCUCUCACUACGAUCUCUGUGGCGAUCACGAUCUCUAUGGUAACGGUCAUGAUCCUUGUCUCGGUCCCUUUCGCUAACCCUGUCCCUGUCCUUGCUUCUCCUCCUUUCUUUGUCCCUCUCACGAUCCCUAUCCCUGUCCCUAUCUCUAUCCCUAUCCUUAUCACGCCCUUUCUCUCUAUCCUUUUCCCUACUUUUUGAAUAAUCUCUUUCGUUGUUGUCUCGUGAGCCAUGCCGAGAUCUGGAAUUUAUGUGAUCGUCGGCACCGCCAUGGCUGUGGCUGUUAGUGCGAGGCUGAGGGGAGAAACCGCCACCGUCGGCGGAACCGUAGUUAUCGUUAUCGAAGUCAGCACCAUUGCCAUCGUACCUUCCACCUUCGUAGUCAUUCAUAAUUGAAUUUGAUUGAUUGAUUGAUUGAUUAUUAGGCAAUGGUUUGUCGCUUCUCCAAAGAGAAUACGCUGCGAAGCUUGGGACUGCUAAUGAGCAAUGAAGAAUUGAAGAACAGUUGAGAAUUCUAGGGCUUGGACUUGGAAACUCGGUUUCCUUUUAACGUGAAGUGCCAAGUGCAAAUAGUGCCAGGAAAUCGGAAUCCUGACGGGUGAAGAAAGAGCUUCUGUCGGGGUAUUAUGGUAAAACCAUUUUGCAUAAACUAG